rnacentral:rRNA from 1 species
UAAACGUGCCGCCUGGGGAGUACGGUCGCAAGAUUAAAACUCAAAGAAUUGACGGGGACCCGCACAAGCGGUGGAGUAUGUGGCUUAAUUCGAUGCAACGCGAAGAACUUACCAAGGCUUGACAUCCCGUGACCGUCUGUGAAAGCAGAUUUUCUAUUCGUAGACACGAGACAGGUGCUGCAUGGCCGUCGUCAGCUCGUGUCGUGAGAUGUUUGGUUAAGUCCAGCACGAGCGCAACCCCUGCUGCCAGUUACCAUCAUUAAGUUGGGGACUCUGGCGGGACUGCCAGAUCAACUGGGAGGAAGGUGGGGACGACGUCAGGUCAGUAUGGCCCUUAUGCCUUGGGCGCACACGUACUACAAUGCCCAGUACAGAGGGAAGCCAACCCGCGAGGGUGAGCAGAUCCCAAAAGUGGGCCCAGUUCGGAUUGGAGGCUGCAACUCGCCUCCAUGAAGCCGGAAUCGCUAUAAUGGCGCAUCAGCUACGGCGCCGUGAAUACGUUCCCGGGUCUUGCACACACCGCCCGU